AUGCGUGCGUCUAGUGCCUUCUUCCCCGCAGCGGUGCUCUCAUUUACGAAGCUGGCGGCUGGAAUAAAACUGGAGGAGGAGCGCCGGCGACGACCAUCGAUGGAGUUCCUGAUGCAGCCUAUGCGCGGAUCUGCUUUCCUGGAGGAGGUGGGGGAAAGUUUGGUGCCGCCACCAGUGUCGGCGGUGGCGCCUGUGCCGCCGGUGCCGCACGUGGUAGAGAUGGUGGUGGAUCAUCCAGUGUUGGAGCAGGAGGUCGUGGGGCAUGUGGCCGCGGUCGCCGGCGCCGAUGCGCAGAUUCAGGCAGCCAAGCCGUCGGCUGCGGUCAGGAUGGACAGCUCGCCGGCGUCGUCGGAGCUGUCUACCGGGAAGAUGGAUCCUCGGGUGCCUGGAUGA
rnacentral:rRNA from 1 species